UACGUAGGGUCCGAGCGUUGUCCGGAAUUAUUGGGCGUAAAGGGCUCGUAGGCGGUUUGUCGCGUCGGGAGUGAAAACACGGGGCUUAACCCCGUGCCUGCUUCCGAUACGGGCAGACUAGAGGUAUGCAGGGGAGAACGGAAUUCCUGGUGUAGCGGUGAAAUGCGCAGAUAUCAGGAGGAACACCGGUGGCGAAGGCGGUUCUCUGGGCAUUACCUGACGCUGAGGAGCGAAAGCUAGGGGAGCAAACGGG
rnacentral:rRNA from 1 species